UGCGUAGGCGGCUCUCUAAGUCGGAUGUGAAAACUCUGGGCUCAACCCAGAGCCUGCAUCCGAAACUGGAGGGCUAGGGUUCUGGAGGGGAAAGCGGAAUUCCUGGUGUAGCGGUGAAAUGCGUAGAUAUCAGGAGGAACACCGGUGGCGAAGGCGGCUUUCUGGACAGAUACCGACGCUGAGGCACGAAAGGCUAGGGGAGGCAAACA
rnacentral:rRNA from 1 species